rnacentral:lncRNA from 1 species
UUGAAUAUAAUAUGGUUUAUUGUGACAUAAAUAAAUAUAUAUCGAAUGGAGAUACUUUGUUUUAGUCUAGAUUUGGUAGAGCAACAACUAUGACUUGUUUCUGAAUUAUCUGGAUUUCUAAUAAAUAAGAAAAAUAAUGGACUUAGUAAAUAUAUGUGGUUUUAUUUACAAUAAACCACAAAUAGAAGUUAAAUUCAUGCAUUCAAAAAUAUUGUAGAGUAAAAAUAUUUUUAAAUGAAUUACAUAAAAACCUCUCCAUCCUUUGAGAUAUUAUUUCUCUUUUCACCAUUUUCCAAAGUU